AUGUCGAAACAUAAAGGCGUCAAUGCGCGUUGAUUGUGGCUACCAUGGAAUUAGUCCGUUGGAUUGCUUGAGAAAGGGAUGUUGUUAUGGCGAAUUAAAGGUGGCUGGCCCGUGGUGUUAUCAUCGAAAAGGUAAAUUUUCGACUAUGUUUUCGGCAUUAACACUGACAAUUUGGGCCACUAAUUAUUUCUCAAAAUACUCUAGCAAACUGUCCCAUGAUUGAAGCAAACAAACGUGAAGAUUGUGGUUACCCUGGGAUAAGCAAAUCAGAUUGCGUCAAAAAAGGAUGCUGUUACAACGCGAUCAAGGAAAAGGGACCGUGGUGUUAUUACAGGCAAGGUAAGUUGUUCCGCUCUUACUGAUUAGGUAUUUUGAAAGCAUUGUGUACUCUUCCAUCCGUAAUUUUAGAAAAAUGCCGGAAAAUAGCAGCAACAAGACGUCAUGAUUGUGGUUAUCCAGGCAUAACGAAGCGGGCAUGCGAAAAGAAAGGCUGUUGUUAUAGUGAAUUGCUAAACCAAAGUGGACCGUGGUGCUACCACCGCCUAGGUAAGCAUAGAAGUACGCUCUCCACAUUCGUCGCAAAAUAACAUAAUGCGCGAUCCUUAAAGUUUUUACUGCUGGUUUGUGUUGAAUUUUCGUUAGAAAAAUGUCUGCGCAAAGCAACAGAACGUGACGACUGCGGCUAUCCUGGUAUAACAGAAUUCGAAUGCAUGAAAAGAGGUUGCUGCUAUAAUUCAUUGCCCGGUCGUGGGCCAUGGUGCUAUUACCGAUGAGAUACGAGGACCUUCGGAAGAUUAUAUGCGAACUUUAGUGUACUCAUUGUUGUAAAAAUAUGUUGUCAAAUAAAUACCUCUAAUAUAUGAACUUUUCCUUCCCAAUAAGAUCCAGUAUGAGAUGAAUGAUUUGACUGCCAA